rnacentral:rRNA from 1 species
CCUACGGGAGGCAGCAGUGAGGAAUAUUGGUCAAUGGACGAGAGUCUGAACCAGCCAAGUAGCGUGAAGGAUGACUGCCCUAUGGGUUGUAAACUUCUUUUAUAUGGGAAUAAAACGUUCCACGUGUGGGAUUUUGUAUGUACCAUAUGAAUAAGGAUCGGCUAACUCCGUGCCAGCAGCCGCGGUAAUACGGAGGAUCCGAGCGUUAUCCGGAUUUAUUGGGUUUAAAGGGAGCGUAGGUGGAUUGUUAAGUCAGUUGUGAAAGUUUGCGACUCAACCGUAAAAUUGCAGUUGAAACUGGCAGUCUUGAGUACAGUAGAGGUGGGCGGAAUUCGUGGUGUAGCGGUGAAAUGCUUAGAUAUCACGAAGAACUCCGAUUGCGAAGGCAGUUCACUGGACUGCAACUGACACUGAGGCUCGAAAGUGUAGGUAUCAAACAGGAGUAGAUACCCCAGUAGUC